UCGUCUUGCAGUGGCUUUCAGCGCCUCCUAGUGCCGGAACAACGUUCCUGCGUCUUCCCCGGAACUUAAGAACCAUUUUCCCUUCCCCUGCCCAGUCCAGCCAACCGUCGACCGUUAGAGCACAACGUUCCUGCGUCUUCCCCGGAACUCAAGAACCAUUUUCCCUUCCCCAGCCCAGUCCAGCCAACCGUCGACCGUUAGAGCACAACGUUCCUGCGUCUUCCCCGGAACUUAAGAACCAUUUUCCCUUCCCCUGCCCAGUCCAGCCAACCGUCGACCGUUAGAGCACAACGUUCCUGCGUCUUCCCCGGAACUUAAGAACCAUUUUCCCUUCCCCGGCCCAGUCCAGCCAAC